UUGCAAUUUGUUUUUAGAGAUUUUAAUUAAUUCCUAAUAUAUAUAGAGAGAGUAGUGCAAAUAGGCUUAUUGUACUUUUUAAAGUACUUUUUUACUCUUUAAUCAGUUACUUUUGAAUUUGCUAAAUUGAAAAGGAAAAAAAAAUACAUUUUUAUACAUGUAUAUGGUAAUUCAAUAUUUAUUUCUGCUCCUGAAAUUGAAUAUUUUCUCCUGAAAAACUCCUGGAAAUCUCCAGAAAUCCUGAUCUCAGAAUGGUGGGGGAACCCUGGAUACUAUCAGUCACCAACUUCUGUAUGAAUGGUUCUUUAAGUCAACAACAUCUGUAUGAAUGGUGCUAUCAGUCACCACCAUUUUUAUGAAUGGUACUAUUAGUCACCACCAUCUUUAUGAAUAGUACUAUUAGUCACCACCAUCUGUAUGAAUGGUACUAUCAGUCACUACCAUCUGUAUGAAUGAUACUAUCAGUCACCACCAUCUGUAUGGUUCAGUGUUUAAUGUAUAAUUGCUAAGAAUGGUACUGUCAGUCACCACCAUCUAUAUGAAUGGUACUAUCAGUCACCACCAUCUGUAUGAAUGACAGCAUCUUCAUCAUAGCCCCAGAAUUAUGCAGAAUAGUCUAGUAUAUUGUAAUAAAAUAACCAAUACUAGAAAACCACUAUAUUGGCUUUAUUCAACAAGAUUAAGCUACAGCCAACAAUGAACAAAUAUAAGUACAUCUCUAGUUGUUGAAAUACUAUAGACACACACACUGAACAUGACCUUCUGGCACACUGGACUCAUGCAGAAAAUUAAUAAUAAAUAUACACUACAUAUAUGUUGUCACAUCAAACCUGGUAAUCAUGCAUCACAUGCCCUCAGAUAUGUACAAAAAAUGAAGUUUGAGAAGAAAGAGAAAGGAUCAAGAUGAUUUACAAGACACUAAAGAAGUUAUCUAUCAACUAUACUCAAUGUAUGGACGACUUGCAGCCAGACCAGAAUUAUAGAGAAAGAUGUUUUUCUGCUGGCUAAACAUGUAUGGAUAAUGAUGCAGAGAAUUUCCUGGUGAUCAAGAAUUAGGAGCUGCACACAGUUUAAUGAAACCAUAUUUUAGGAACAGAUAGAAAACAAAGAACUGCAGCAAAGAUGGCCUGUUUUUAUUCUUCCUCAUG